GGGAGGGGGGGGCUAGCGUUGCUCGGAAUUACUGGGCGUAAAGGGCGCGUAGGGCGGAUUUCUAGUCAGGGCGUGAAAGCCCCGGGGCUCAACCCGGGAAUAGCGCUUGAUACUGGAAGUCUAGAGUUCUGGAGAGGGUGGUGGAAUUCCCAGUGUAGAGGUGAAAUUCGUAGAUAUUGGGAAGAACACCGGUGGCGAAGGCGGCCACCUGGCCAGACACUGACGCUAAGGCGCGAAAGCGUGGGGAGCAAACAGGAUUAGAUACCCUGGUAGUCCACGCCGUAAACGAUGUGUGCUAGACGUCGGGCAGCUUGCUGUUCGGUGUCGCAGCUAACGCGUUAAGCACACCGCCUGGGGAGUACGGUCGCAAGAUUA
rnacentral:rRNA from 1 species